GCAGUGGUAGUUCAGUGGCAAAAUUCUCGUCUUUCAUGUGGGUGACCUGGGUUCCAGUCCCAGCCAGUGCA
rnacentral:tRNA from 1 species